GGGGAUUUAGCUCAGUGGUAGAGCGCUUGCCUAGCAAGCGCAAGGCCCUGGGUUUAUCCCCA
rnacentral:tRNA from 1 species